AUUAUAUAUUAUAUUUUACAUGUAAUAUUACUAAUAAUAUUACAGCAUAUUGAUACAGUACAAUAUAGUAAUUUAUUGCCAGUAUUGUACUAUGUUAAUAAUAUAAUAUUGUAUGUAAAUUUAAUUUGUAAGCCGGGGUGAGAAGGGCGGCAUAUAAAUGUAGCUAACAAAUAAAUAAAUAAGCAGGAAGGUAUGGAUCCCUAAAGAAAGAAGACAGGGACUUCCCCAGGCAGGAAGCAGCCAGGCUUUGAAUCGUCAAGGCCAUUCCAUGCCAAUGAAGGCGGCCAAUUGCAACACUCAGAGGAAUUCCAGACAGGAAACAAUCAGGGCCAGCUAACACUUCCCAACAAAGGAUCCCCCCAGGCAGGAAUGAAGCUUGCAAGGCUAUUAAUGCUCAUCAAGGUGAUUAAUUACAACAUUCACACUUGCGUCCUUUCUCCAUAGAUCUCUAAACCUCCCUUGCCCUGUUUUUUUUUUCCCCAACAGACCUCGCAACCUCUGAGGAUGCCUGCCAAAGAUGUGGGCGAAACGUCAGGAGAGAAUGCUUCUGGAGACAUGGCCAGGCAGCCCGGGAAACUCACAGCAACCCUCUCCCGUUCGCUUGGCUUCCUUCCUUCCUUCCUUCCUUCCUUUUCUCUCUCUUUCGGUAUCUCUCCCUCCUCUUCCCGGAAAUGGCGCCUGCUGUGCGGACAGGCCCCUCCCCUUCCGGAGGAAAAGGUGCCUCUCUAGGAAGUGGGCGAAACCCCGCCCACUCUUCGCUCUCCCCAGGCCCAGUAUCCCAUCCUGUUUAAGGGAUCCAAUAUACAAAUUGCCACCGGAUUUUUCACUUUGUGGCAACUGAAGUCAGCCUGAGUUCAAGGCAAAAAAUUGGGACAUUUGAGAAGCCUUUGGAAAAUGAAUAUAUAUAUAUAUAUAUACGUUUAAUUAAGGUAAGACAUGCAUUUCUUUUGGAAAGGGAGAGUUUCCCUCUCUAUUUCUUCUGCGUUUGGACUUCCUCCAGCUCCUCGCUGCUGCUGCUGCUGCUUCCGCUGGAUUCAGCCUUUUUCUGGUAACUGAAAUCUAGGCUGUUGAAAGGGAAAAGGGAAAAAGCAGAGCGUAAAU
rnacentral:lncRNA from 11 species